CCUACGGGAGGCAGCAGUGGGGAAUAUUGGACAAUGGGCGAAAGCCUGAUCCAGCCAUGCCGCGUGUGUGAAGAAGGCCUUCGGGUUGUAAAGCACUUUCAGUGGGGAAGAAAGCCUUGGGGCUAAUACCCUCGAGGAAGGACAUCACCCACAGAAGAAGCACCGGCUAACUCCGUGCCAGCAGCCGCGGUAAUACGGAGGGUGCGAGCGUUAAUCGGAAUUACUGGGCGUAAAGCGCGCGUAGGCGGUCUGAUAAGCCGGUUGUGAAAGCCCCGGGCUCAACCUGGGAACGGCAUCCGGAACUGUCAGGCUAGAGUGCAGGAGAGGAAGGUAGAAUUCCCGGUGUAGCGGUGAAAUGCGUAGAGAUCGGGAGGAGUACCAGUGGCGAAGGCGGCCUUCUGGACUGACACUGACGCUGAGGUGCGAAAGCGUGGGUAGCAAACAGGAUUAGAUACCCUAGUAGUC
rnacentral:rRNA from 1 species